rnacentral:rRNA from 1 species
UACGGAGGGUGCAAGCGUUAUCCGGAUUCACUGGGUUUAAAGGGUGCGUAGGCGGGCAGGUAAGUCCGUGGUGAAAUCUCUGAGCUUAACUCAGAAACUGCCAUGGAUACUAUUUGUCUUGAAUAUUGUGGAGGUAAGCGGAAUAUGUCAUGUAGCGGUGAAAUGCUUAGAUAUGACAUAGAACACCUAUUGCGAAGGCAGCUUACUACGCAGAUAUUGACGCUCAUGCACGAAAGCGUGGGGAUCAAACAGG